AUUGAACGCUGGCGGCAUGCCUUACACAUGCAAGUCGAACGGUAACAGGUCUUCGGAUGCUGACGAGUGGCGAACGGGCGAGUAAUACAUCGGAACGUGCCCGACCGUGGGGGAUAACGAGGCGAAAGCUUUGCUAAUACCGCAUCCGAUCUACGGAUGAAAGCGGGGGAUCUUCGGACCUCGCGCGGACGGAGCGGCCGAUGGCGGCGUCGGUAGUUGGUGGGAUUAAAGCUUACCAAGCCGACGAGCUGUAGCUGGUCGGAGAGGAUGAUCAGCCACACUGGGGCGGGGACGGGGCCCAGGCGCCUACGGGAGGGAGCAGUGGGGAAUUUUGGACAGUGGGCGAAAGCCUGAUCCAGCCAGGCCGCGUGCAGGAUGAAGGCCUUCGGGUUGGAAACUGCUUUUGUGCGGAACGAAAAGCCUCUGUCUAAGAAAGAGGGGUCAUGACGGUACCGUAAGAAUAAGCACCGGCUAACUACGUG
rnacentral:rRNA from 1 species